UUACACCAGCGGUCUGGCAACGGAAACACAGAGCAGAACAUGAGAGGGUCUGACAUAUGAAGAUGAACGGUUUCCCCACUUGAACUGGACUUUUUUUUAACAGCUUUAAUCAUAGAAAACAAAAGAAAAAAGUCAAAUAGGUGUCAUUUGCUCAAGCCCUGCUCGUUAGUCCUACGCUUUCCUUCGUUUAAAUGCCUAAAUCAUAGUUUACAUAAUAGGUCAAGUAUUGACAUUCCGAGGUAAAAUAAAAUUGGAUUUGCCAGGAAGGAGCACAAGUCUUGACUGUGAUAUCACUACUAUCUACUUACAGGCAGAAACAUGCCACAAACCCAAAAGAAGGUUGGACCAUCAAGUGAAAACCAAGGGAGCAGCAACACGGGUCAGGAGUGCGUGGGUGUGUGGGGGCGGCGUCGGCCUGCAUCGACAUCACCUACAUCAUCCAAAACACUUUUUUCCCUCUGAAGGUUGAAAACUCACAUGGCCUGAUGCCCGGCUCACAAACUUUCUCCACCUUCUUGUCUUCCUCUACCUCCUGUGUGAAAGAAAUGGGAGUCACACUUCCUCCUUCACAGCGUCCAUGGACCUCGUCUCUGUCCAUCAUCUCUAUGACCAAGAUGAUCCUCUUGGCUUCAUCUGGCCAUGACUUCAAUCAAUACUCGCAAUAGGACUACAACAUUCACAUACAACCAUAGAUCCUCAAAUAAUGAUGAACAUCAUCACAACUAGAACUAGAACUUUAUUUUAACCAUUGUCAAUAUACAUAAUGUAUACUGCAGGCCAGGAUUUUGUUCAGGGAUGUUUUUCACUACACAAUGGCCAGGGUUUCUACUACUCUGAAUGUACUUGAAAUUGUUAUGAAAUUGAAAUUCUUAUACAAAUAUUUUGAAGACAUUAAAAGAGCUUUAGUUUAAAUAAGGUGAUAUAAAAACUUGAAUAUAGCCACCAAUGUGAUUUAUUGUGCUAUUGUCAAACUGAUGCAAAAUAAACAAUAUUGUGUUGUUUAAAUGUAUGUAUGGUCCAUCAUUUGAUUCAGCAAUGUACCAAAUUCAUUCAAAUUGAAAAAUGUGGCUUCACCAUUAAACUGCGAUCACAAAUUCUCUAUUAAUGAGAUUAAUUUUUUUAAUCGAAUCCCACCCCUACAAUGUCCCAAACGUAUUUAUCUAUUUUUUUUAUUUUAACUGUCAACAAGUACAAAUAUUUAAAGUGGCAAAAAAAAUGAUCGGUUACACUGUGUCUUGAGGACCACAAAGUGGGCUGCACUAUUCCCUGGUCUGUGCUCAUGGCUGCUUUAAAGAAACCUUCUGUUAUUGAAAGGUUACUAGUCUGGUUUAACUGGUUGUAAGGAAAUAUGAACAUUACAAUUACACGGUAAUGACUUGUGCUGUGAAGUUACUGCUGUCGAUGGACCAAUUUAGUGUCACUUGAAGCUACUGUACUGUAAUUACAUGUGUAUAAAUGCAAAUAACCUCCCCCAGAUUUGACUCCAGUGUCAAGUGUUAGGUACAUUUU